AUUGAACGCUGGCGGCAGGCUUAACACAUGCAAGUCGAGCGGAUGAAAGUAGCUUGCUACUGGAUUCAGCGGCGGACGGGUGAGUAAUGCUUAGGAAUCUGCCUAUUAGUGGGGGACAACGUUCCGAAAGGAGCGCUAAUACCGCAUACGUCCUACGGGAGAAAGCAGGGGACCUUCGGGCCUUGCGCUAAUAGAUGAGCCUAAGUCGGAUUAGCUAGUUGGUAGGGUAAAGGCCUACCAAGGCGACGAUCUGUAGCGGGUCUGAGAGGAUGAUCCGCCACACUGGGACUGAGACACGGCCCAGACUCCUACGGGAGGCAGCAGUGGGGAAUAUUGGACAAUGGGGGGAACCCUGAUCCAGCCAUGCCGCGUGUGUGAAGAAGGCCUUUUGGUUGUAAAGCACUUUAAGCGAGGAGGAGGCUACCUAGAUUAAUACUUUAGGAUAGUGGACGUUACUCGCAGAAUAAGCACCGGCUAACUCUGUGCCAGCAGCCGCGGUAAUACAGAGGGUGCGAGCGUUAAUCGGAUUUACUGGGCGUAAAGCGUGCGUAGGCGGCCAAUUAAGUCAAAUGUGAAAUCCCCGAGCUUAACUUGGGAAUUGCAUUCGAUACUGGUUGGCUAGAGUAUGGGAGAGGAUGGU
rnacentral:rRNA from 1 species